ensembl:lncRNA
GUAGAGCUGAAAUAGCAGACGCUUCUACAAACAACUUGUUACAUACUUGUGUGGGGGAGUAGAUAUUGGGAACAAGAAACUUAAUUGCCUCUAUUAUUUGUACAUUAGUACCAUUCUCAUGUGAAAUUCAUUAUGACUUAUCUUCAAUUUGAACUCCCACUGAUCUGCUAAACAAAAGUAUGUAUUGGUGCCUCUGAGAUCAGUUCUUUCAAAAUGAAAUGUUAGACUAUCUCCAGUCCUCUAGGUUCUCAACAAUGGUAUUGCUGUAAGUUUAUAGCACUCGAAUAAUUGGCCUUCAACAGCAAGUAUUGCAGAUCUGCCUGACUGGCAGAAAAUGCCAGUUCUUUAUUCAGAAAAAUAUGGAUGGGAGAGUGAAUGGUUUGCAUGUAAUURCAAAAUAAUGUGGAUUACAAAUUCAUAACUCCCCCACAAAAUACGCUUUACAGUUCCCCCAGAUCUCCCCCAAAUACUUAAAUAUGCCUUGAGCAGGAAGGRUAAAGUGCAUACAAGCAAGAAAGUACUUCGGUUUCAGACCAGAAUUCAUACUACAAGUUUGAAUCUAAACAGUUAUUUACUGAAUACUAGGUUUGCCUGCGGAUCCCCUGCAUGUGGGCACAUUAGGGGCUGGCAACACAAGCAGUCAUUCUUCAGACUAGAUGUGCCUUAACAUGAUCUCGAAAUUGCAGGCACACUAAGGAAUAAUAAUGAGAUGCAGUCUGGCAAGCAUACUUCCCUUAAAGAGACAUGGUCUCGAUGCACAGAUGCAAAAAUAGGAGAGAAAUUCUAAAUGCCGGCUUUUCACCAUACCAGAUGGAGCUUCAAUCUUUUUUUAUUUUUUCCCCUCCAAAUAAAAGCAAGAAAACCCUAACAACAUUUGAAACAAGAUCUUGCUGCAGUGGGUAUACAAUCAUGAAGAUCACUGGCUGGAUGGUUAAGGUGGAAAGCAACACGACCUUUAGCAAGACUCGCAGAGURUGUGUUAGUACUCCUAUCUGUGUCACCCACAGUAUGACCUGGAUUAGUCUUAAAUUCACUGAACUGAAAUCUGUUUGGGGUUGUAAGUCUUAUGCAGGUAACUUGAUCUUCCAAGUAAGGAGUGACAGUGUUUAUAAAGACUGCAGGCUUCUUAAAAAUCAUCUAGGAAAGCAAUUGUCCCCAGUUAUCUGCAGGUGGGAUUUAUAUCCUCAAAUAUCAAGGGAAUGGAAAACUGAGGCAAAGAAGAGGAAUAAGGAGAGACUGUAUAUGCAGAAAAGUUGGCGCAUCUAUAAGGAUGAUAGAGAACAGCAAAGGGCCUAGCACUGGUGUCACUCCAGCGCAAGCAGCAUAAAGAACUUUAGUGUGGACAGUGCAACGAAAAACAGUCGGAUGCCUUGUAAGGAAGCAGUGAUUGACUGAAAUCUUAGUUGCUGCAAAUAAUUACUGCUGUCCCUGCUGCAAAGAGGAGGUGAACAGAGGUGUUGUGUGAUGUAUUUAGUCAAUGCGGRGCAAAAUAUUGGCUGUUGUGGAAAAUUUUGCAUGUUGUUAACACCUCUUCUAAUAUGAAGAGGUUUGGCAACUCUUAGUAAACUMUAUUAGAAGGAUGUUCAAACUUAAUUCUGUGAGCUUUUCAGGUGAAAAUAUUUCAGAUAAACAGUGAGCUGAGUAUAUUGAGAAUCCAAUUCUUCUUGAAGCCUGUUCAUUUAGAACUGCAGAGCCAGCUUGGGAGUGUCUUUCGCUGACAAACCUUUCCCAGUAGCAGAGAAAAU